ensembl:snoRNA
AUCGAGGCUAAAGUCACACUUAGGUAUUGGUUAUUGCCGUAGUGUGCUAGAGUCUUCAAAGAGUAACUGCUGAACUUAUUCAUUGGCUGUGGCCCUCAUGGCAUAUUCAGUUACCAGGUUAGUGACAUGC